AGAUCCUGAUAAUAUUCCCUCCAUAUUCUUUCCCGAUGUUUGAAAAAUAAAUAAGAGUGAGAAAAUGCAGAUCGAACAAGACGACCUCUCAUCUAAAUUCUUCAAUUAAGCUGCCCUUUUAUCAGAUCACAUGUUUGCCAAAUCAGAUGGAUUGCUGAUGAUCUCAUCUCCUCCGCAAAAGUUAUUUUGCCCAGGUUCCUUCGAUUCUGUUGCAUUUAAUGUGGAAUUGAAGCUGAGAUGGUUUCUGAUGUUUUAAGCUUUGAAUUAUGAUUUGUCUCAUUUCAUUUUCUUCUCUAACCAACCUGCUUGAUCACAAUUCCUGGUGUGGGUUGUAUGUGAACUUGGGGAGUCAUACAGUCAACUUCAAUGGCUGCUUGGUACAAAGUCACUCAGUAAACACCUCAAAUUGCAUUCUCUCUCUUGAUUUCAAUCAUAUUCACAUCUUACAUUAUUAGAAUUCAUUAAACAGCACAAAUGAGAAACAUUCUUUCUCUUGAUUUCAAUCAUAUUCACAUCUUACAUUAGUAUUCAUUAAACAGCACAAAUGGCAAACAUUCUUUCUCUUGAUUCCAAUCAUAUUCACAUCUUACAUUAGUAUUCAUUAAACAGCACAAAUGGCAAACAUUCUUUCUCUUGAUUUCAAUCAUAUUCACAUCUUACCUUGUCGUUUCUGUAUAGACCACACCAGCAUACACAUGGACUCUGGUGAUAUGCCCACUUUACAGUAAAUCAAUACCUUUAACUUACUAGCCAACAAACAAUUGCCAAUUGAACUAAAGAAUGCCCAUCCUUGAUUUCAAAACCCCUUCCAGGCGCCAAGAACUUGGUCGAAUAUCUCAGCUACGAGCUCUCUAUCUGCACAUUGUAGAAAGUCUCUGAAAUCAUCUCGGAUAUCAAAGAUCUUGCCGAACUUCACAAGAUACAGCAAGCAGCUGGUCUUGAGUUUUGGCAGAUGAUACAGAGUGGCAUUCUGGAGCCUCUCCAGCACAUUUGUGGUGUCAAUAUCCUCCAGCAGGCUCUCGUGGCAAGCUUCUUUGAGGUCUGAAAUCUCGUACUUAUGAGCUGCGUGAAGAAGGGACAGCCUGUGGGGCAAGAAUUCUUCCUUGUUUAUAUUUCCAUACAUGUAGUUCAGUAAAGCUCUACAGGCUUCAAUUGACAUCUCCGAAAUGUUUAUGACAGCUGUUUCCUUCCCGUUGAGUUUGUGCAAGAACAUGCUGCGGAUAACAGGAGACCUGGAAGCAAGAAUGGCCCGAUGCGCUGAGAUGCUACCAUCAGAUGCAUUGAUCAUUAUAUCAGUUUGGAUGCCUUCAGACAGCAUUCGACCAAGUAAUGCAAGAGCCUUAUGAUUAGACUGUCUACAAGCGAGCCCUCUACUCCAAAUCGAGCAAGCCUCUCCCCCCUGUGCAUUACAACCGAUCUUGAAAGGAUCGGAUUUCCUGUAGGUGGAGGCCAAAUCGUCGAUCCGCCAUUGAGCGAGACGCGAUGUCGUCUCGACCUGAUAAGCAGCGGCGCCGAUCAUCCUGGAGAAGACAAGCGCCGCCGUGAUAUCAUGGAUGCAGUCCAAAAUACCUUCCAAGAAGUGAUCGCCGAGCUUUCCCAGCUUUGCUUGUCUCUGCUUUCCUCAUAUAUUUACUCACUUCUCACUCACACCUCUCUCUCUCUCUACACUAUUUUGUUCUUUAUCAGGGUGAAGAGAAUGGAUAUCUCACAGAGACUACGAGGUAGCCGGCAAGCCAGGUUAUUGUUGAUCGUAACUAUAUUACUUCAUUGAUAUUCAAGUAUUUGCGUUGGCUCUGUUUCUCUGUUCUCUCUUUGUAUUUGUAGAGAGAGAGAGAGAGAGAGAGAGUGGUGUUUGCUUAGUUGAUUUGUUUGCUUAUACUUCACUUGAGGUUGGUUGACGGCUGAUUUAUUUAUGUUGGGGAAACUCCUGUUCCCUAAUUCGAGUGACAAAUGUUAUCCUUUUUUAAGGCUCAACCUCAACGUAUACUUAAUUAAUUACUUUUACGUUUUAGUAUUUUCACCUCUCA